GGAAGCCGAGCGGAUCCCAGUCGUGUCGUCUUAAAAGCCUCAGAAAUGAGGAAGCAGAAAAUAAGUCCUGACACAGCGUUGCAAUCAUUCUGUGUUGUCUGCCCUCAUGGCAUUUCGAGCACCCGCCGUCUUAAAAAGAAACGAAGAAGCAAGAAAAAAAAAAUCUGGUUUCUCAAAGUUCAUUUUGAAACAUGAGAAUAACUAGAACUGGGGGACUGGCCAACCACUAAAACCAUCGUCGGCAACGAUCAAUUCAGUUAGGAUUCACAUGUGCCAUGGAAGUGGCUGACAUUUUUCCGAAAUUGGUUGCCAUGCUGACGACAAAGAUCGAAAACGGAAAAUCGUGCGGGGCUAACGAGCCCUCGGUGCCUUUUGCUGACCCGUCUGGAACUGGAAUCCAUUACGCCCACAUGCCUUCCGCUUGGCAUUGUCACAGCCACGGUGUCCUUUGGUUGUCACAGGACCACUGCAGGACGUCAAGAGUGGGCCUCAUCUUUUCCAACCAGAGGUUUAAUUGCCUCAGGAGAUAUUAGAAUUACCAUACCAACAAUGGAGACAAAAGAGAGGCAAGGUUUUGAUUUCCAAAAUUGGAAAUUAGAGUCAAUUGUGAGACUCUAUUAGGAAAUAGAAGAAAUUUCUAUGGUCUGAUUUUUUCGGAUCAUCUCCAAAUACACCAAGAGCAAACUUGGAGGUCUUAGCAUAUUAUUUUGCUCUGUAGCAAGGAUACAGGAUAUGACAUGAAGGAAGUUGGAGUCAGAGAAGAAGGGGCGGUAGGAAGCCCCCUCUCUCGGCUGGAAGAAGGCCAAGAAAGGCAGAGUUAGGACCAAGAGCUGAGCCGUGUGUGUCUUCUCCCUUUGUGUCUGUCAACAUUCCAGAAGUGAGAUGGGAGAGGAAGAAGCAAGGAGCCUGAAGACAUAUAGGUACAAGGCCUUACUUCUCAGGAAAUCAACGGUAUCACAGUGAACUCCAAGUUCAACAUGGCACAAGAUGGCACCAGACACCUCUAGAUUAGAUGUAGGGAGCUAUUCGGGCACUGGUGUGAGCUAGUCCCUGGUUACCUACGUCCUGACUGUUUUAUGCAGCCAUGUGAAGGUGUCUUGCAUUCCAGUGAAAAGGCAGGAGCUUGGAGUCUGGACAAGUAGACAUUACUGAGAAGGGUCUUUGUGACUGGAGGCAAAUGCAAUGAACUGUGGAACGCGUCAGCGGGGAACAGCAAUGUAUUCCCAAGAGACUGCGAACCAUGCAUUGGUGGAGACCAGCAAAAAACCCAAACUGGACUGGAGCAGGGGUCCACCUCAGAGACGAGUGGUCCUCAGAGGAAAGCACCAGGACCAGAGUCCUUAGUCUGCUGCUACGAUGUUAUGUGUAUUUCCUUUUGUGAACAGACCCCACCAGCUAAACUUGCGAACAUUCUGGUUUUGCGGGUUUAGACCCUACACACUACACAAUUAUCACGGGCGUGUCUGUACCGUUCCUCAAAGUGAAUACUUUGAAUAUGACUGCAUUCAUUUAGAUAUAUGUUUGUUAGUGACCGUGACUCUGUUUUAGUCCUACCCGCUGUGUGCGUGCAUGCUGU